rnacentral:rRNA from 1 species
CAGUAGCCGCGGUAAUACAGAGGUCCCGAGCGUUGUUCGGAUUCACUGGGCGUAAAGGGUGUGUAGGAGGUUGGAUAAGUCAGGUGUGAAAUCCCGCAGCUCAACUGCGGAACUGCAUUCGAUACUGUUCAACUAGAGGAUCGGAGGGGGAAGCGGAAUUCUUGGUGUAGCGGUGAAAUGCGUAGAGAUCUGGAGGAAUACCGAUGGCGAAGGCAGCCAUCUGGCCUAAUACUGACGCUGAGGUACGAAAGCAUGGGGAGCAAACAGGAUUAGAUACCCCCGUAGUCCCUGUCUCUUAUAC